GGGAGAACCCGACUCCAGCCCCCUCCCCCUUUUCUUUUUCUUUCUUUCGGACCCGGAACCCUUUUUCCGGUGAAAUCACUGCCGCCGGACCACUGCCGGGCUCGACACCAACCAUCACAGGAUCCUCUCUUCCUCCUCUUGUAUCUAAGCUUCUCACGAUCGGUGGAGGAAGAAUUGAAGGUGUUUAAGUGCUUGAACAAUAGCGUGAACAGUAACUGACGAAGUCUUGUUUUUGGGAUUGAAUUUCCGGCUAUUUCUGCUUGUUUUUGGUUGUUGUUGCAGGUAUAGAAAUCGUUGGGAUUGUUGUGGAGUUUGUGUGGGUGUAAUUUUCUUGGCCGGUUUGUUGGUGGCGUGUAGAGGCUCCAGCAGUUCAUUAGGAAUGCUUUACUUCAGUUGUUAAAUUAUACUUAAAUGUUUGGGAUCCUUGAUUGUCACUGUUUUUGCAUAAUUUGGUGUUGGUUUUGGUUUCUGAAUUUUAUGGUCCAAAACCUUGAUUAAAUGCUCUUGGUUAUAUUUUUGUAUUGAAUUAGUGUGAUGAAAAAUUGGAAAAGUGAUUGUGGAUUGAAAAGAAAAUUUAAGAGAGAACUUGGAAAUUUUGGGGAAGGAUUUAUUUUAUAAUUUGGUGGUUAAAUUAUGGUUGAGGAAUCGAAAUUAAAAUCGGUUGAGUUGUUAAAGAGUUUCGAGGGCAUUGGAAUUGUAAGGAAUUCCGAAAUUUGAGAAUUGAAUCCUAAAUUGGAGAAUUGGUCGUUAGAAGAAUUUUGUGUAAUGGGACGUACUGAGCCUUCAAGCGAGGGGGACAUGGGCAGGCAGCAUGAUUAG
rnacentral:lncRNA from 1 species